CAGCAGCCGCGGGAAAACGUAGGUGGCAAGCGUUGUCCGGAAUUAUUGGGCGUAAAGCGCGCGCAGGUGGUUUAAUAAGUCUGAUGUGAAAGCCCACGGCUCAACCGUGGAGGGUCAUUGGAAACUGUUAAACUUGAGUGCAGGAGAGAAAAGUGGAAUUCCUAGUGUAGCGGUGAAAUGCGUAGAGAUUAGGAGGAACACCAGUGGCGAAGGCGGCUUUUUGGCCUGUAACUGACACUGAGGCGCGAAAGCGUGGGGAGCAAACAGGAUUAGAUACCCGUGUAGUCCCUGUCUCUUAUAC
rnacentral:rRNA from 1 species